AAGGGCAUUCCAUCCUUAUGAAAACCAGAGAUACACUGAGUACAGAACAGGGAUGCUGAUUCCAUGAACUCUAAUGAUAUGGCUGCCCAGACAAGAAAUGCAAACUUCUAGCUGGUCUACACGUCAACAUGGAUGGUAAAAAGCUCACAAGUUUUCACUCCUUAGAUGGAGAGAUACAAGCAGUCAUUCCUUUGAAGAAAGGAACCUAGUAUGAUGGUGCUCUGAGAGGCUUUACCCAGCAAUUGACUCAGACAGAUGGAGACACCCACAGCGACACAGUGGACAGAGCUUGGAGAUUCUUAUGGAAAAACUGGAGGAAGGAUUGUGAGUCCUGAAGAGGAAGAUACUUCAUAGGAAGACCAACAGAGUCAACUCAACUGGACCCUUUGGGCUCUUAGAGUAUGAACAACCAAUCAAGGAACAUAUAUAGGCUAAAUCUAGGCCUCCCCUCUCAUAUGCAGCAGAUGUGCAUCUUGACCCUCAUGGAGAGUCUAAACAAUUAGAGCAGGGGCUAUCUCAAAA
rnacentral:lncRNA from 1 species